UUUUUAGGGCCGCACCCAUGGUAUAUGAAAGUUGCCAAGCUAGGGGCUGAAUUGUAGCCACAACUGCUGACCUACACCACAGCAAUGCCCUAUCUGAGCUGCGUCUGCAACCUACACCACAGCUCACAGUAACGUCGGAUCCUUAACCCACUGAGUGAGGAUAGAACCCAUGUCCUCAUGGAUACUAGUAGGGUACAUUAACCGCUGAGCCACAAAGGGAACUGUAGGUCAGCUUUUUAUUUAUUUGUUUGUUUUGUUUUGUUUUUGUUGAUGCUAAUUCUCCUAGAGAUGGUUAUUUUCCUUUCUUGAGAACACUUGUUUCCAUCUGCCUUUUGAAUACUCGACUCUGUUGCGGGUAAGGACUGAAGAGACAGUGGUUACUGUAAGUUAUGACAACCUUCUUCUAGCAAUAAGUUGUUCUUCAGAGAAACAAGGUUUAUUGAACAAUAAGAAGACAACUUAAAUUUAAACUUCAGCUUUAUGAGUAUCAGUGGCUACGAAGAGUGGGUGAAGAGAUUGGUGGUGACUGGUAAAUGCUGUGAUUAGAUAUCCCCAGCUAGUCGUAGACCUUUAAGGUGAUAAAGGGACCCAGAAUAUAAAUUUUUAUGGCUAAGAAACUACCAUGAAUGAUCUUCUGAUGUCAAAUCAAAAAUACUCAUACUUGAGAGCGACGAAAGUUUCUGAGAAUAAUCAAAACACGACUGGAAAAUACCAUACCACAAACUUGGUGUCAUGAUGACUUUACAAUUCUUUAUAACUAUAAACCAUUUAACGUUCUUCAAUAAAAGCUUAGAAAAGGCUGAAUAGCAUGCAAUUUUCUUUGGCAAAAAAAGAGCUGGGUUUAAACACAGUGAAAAGGUUUGUAUGGGUUCAAAAGGGGUGACAAAGACACUGUUUUUUGCUAUCAUUGGCCUGCUAUCAACUUUUGUGUCCAAAACAAAUGAAUCUGUAUGGAAGUAGUUAAAAGACUGAAGUGAGCUAGUCCAAUUCUUUUUAAGAUAUUAUUGCUACACUAUCCUCCCCCAUUUGAAAUCUGUGUUGGGAGACAGAGACCACUUCAACUCAAUGAGUCACUUCUCCUUCCAGCCAGAACAAUUAAACUUCUUGUAUAAAACAUGACCUGAAGCCUGCCCUUCACCACAUCAUCCCACCUCAAAAACUCCCAGGGGUCAUCUCUGACAUUUAACAGCUUGCAAAUUCAAUUUCUUAGCUGAUGAGGCCAACUUCAUGCUUUUAGAAACGAAUACUAAGUUUUUGCAAAUUUUCUUCUUCAACAUUCUGGGUAAUAUAUAAAAUGUGUUGUCAGUUCAAGUGCCUGUCUGAAUAAUGUUACGCACGCCUUUUUAUCAUGAUGGAGAUAGCAUUUGCAAGUCGGCUGCAUGGAGAAUGAGAAAAAUCCUCCCUCCUUCACUGGCCCUUCUACACCCGUCAACCCCCAAGGCAAGAAAGAAAGAAAGGAAAAAAGGGAGAAUGAUAUACCGCAGUAAGUACAGCGGUAUGGUCAAUCUAGCCAGUGUUCCUGUACCAUCCUACCAGUUCCUGAAACAGUUAAUGCAUUUUGCAAAUUUGCUGCUGCUUUAUUGUUAGCAGCUGAGGAGUUUUUUCCCCUUCUUCUCUCAACUGUUACUGAUCUCUUGCCAUAGUUUGCAUACAAUCCCCUAACAGUAUUAGCUCAUUUUUACUCCAGUCUUGCAGAUUAGCUCAUCUGGGUUAUGUUCUUGGGUGAGUUGGUGUUGAGUGUUGAAUACAUCUUACUUUUUCAUUCUCAAUAGGCUUCUCCAUCGUAACAGGUAUUUGGUGAGUCUGAUCUUCUUUAACAUCAUGUGUUUGACCCUCAUACCAGAAGCGACUCCCAGAUCUUCAUUUGUUCAUUUGUUGGUAUCUAUAGCAGGUGGAUUUAUAUGGAAAGGGGGAGGUAGACUUCUUUCUUUUAUUUCUCAAUUAUUUAUGAAGCCCAGUGUCUUCCUGGAAUGUAUAGUCGACAUUAUUGUAAUGAAAGUCCUAUUCUAUCCAGUUUAAUAUAACUGAGGCCUCUACCACGUCAUUUGAAAACAGCUUUUCUUCCCUUUAAGAGAAUUCACUACUGUUUACACUUUAUUCAACUACAUUCUGUACUUCCUACUCAGGACUCAGAACUCAGUUUUAAAGACCAAAUUUAAAUUAACCACAUUUAAUCAAAAGAAUGAAAAGUAAGUCCAUGGAAAUAUUGCAGCUUCCCACCCCCAACACUUACCAAUGUGCAUGGUGUUUAGGAAACAUAGCUGUAAAUUCAGUUACCAUUCCAUUGUCCCACUUAUCUCAAUUUCAGAUCUCAGAGAGAUAAAAGACAUAGGGUCAGCCUAUUGGAGUUUGCCUUUUAAUUCCUCGAAGAAUCAGGUCUAGAUUUCUACCACUAUUUCUAUCUGUAUUUUUGUCCCUCUCUCUUUAUGUCCAUCUCUGACUAUAUAUCACCAUUUCUAUCUACCUGCAGCUUGGGCGUACAGGUCUUUAUGAUGUGCCGGCUAUCUGUAAGGGACCAGGCAAAAAAGAGGAGCAGGACUCAGAUCCUUCCCCUCCAGAAAAGCUGACUAAAAGGCAGAGCUGUUUAAGAAAAAGAGACACAUUUCAAUCAAAUGGAAUACGGAUGGGAAUAAAUGAAGUGAUAUGAGAGCCAACAGGAAAGACGGAUUAGCUCUGCUGAUGAACUGGGGAAGGUUUCAGAGGGGUUGAACCUUCCUGACAGAUGAGGAGGAGUUUAGACAUGGGAGUGGCGGUAUCACAGGGAGCACAGGAUGUGCAGAGAUGCACUCGCACUUAGUUAAAUGUUCGGUGCGUUUGGGGAACAGCAAGAGAGCUGGGGUGGCUGGCGUUGGGGUUGUGUGGGAUGGAUGGCACAAGUCCAGGCUGCAGGGAUGGAGAAGACCUAUGAGCUCAUAGUCCCUUUUCUCCAUCUCUUCCUUCUCUGUCUCAAAGCCAAAGUGUCCAUGGUGUUCUCAUCCAUGCCUGGCCCAGGAAAAUGGAUUUAAUCUCUUUGAACUAGAAGAAAGGAGGUCAAGAAUGGAGACAGGCUAGAAGCCAGGUCACAACCUUUCUUCUCAAGAGCCGAAAACACUUCGGUUUUUACAUGUGAAGGUCUGUGUGCUUUUUAAAUUUGGGUUACUCAAGGUUUAGGCAAUGGGCUAUUUUUAAUCUGUUUGCUCAAGUCAGCCAUUCCUCAUCCUUAAACCCAUUUCUCUAGAGCUAAAAAAAGGAUAAAAUGUCAUUUGAUGUACCUUCAUGAAAUGGCACUUGACAUUAUUUCAGAUUCACAACUGGCAUUAAGAUGAGUGACGAAAAACAAAGUAUUUACUGAGUCUUUCCUCCUUCCCCAUGAACACGGUCCAAACAUUUUUCCCUCCCCCAGAGCAACCAACAUGCUCCAUUAUACCUCCACCGGGGGACAAUUUAAUUUCUUAUUCCAUUUUGCCCAAGCAUGACUGCAUGCCUUUUAAUUAUAAAAGGUAUUCUGUUGCAGUGAUGGCAGUAGAAAUGACAUUAUUGUAAUUCCAGAUAAUAUUCACUAGAUAUCUUAUUUAGGAAAAUUUUAAAAUUGCGCUUCACGAGAUGACAAGAGUUUAUUCCAUGAGAUUCUUUUACCAGGAGCACUAGAAACGUUAAAGAGCCAGAUACAUUUUUUGACAUUUGUUAAUACUCAGUUAAUUGUUAAACAGGUGUUAUGCUUUGGGAGUUGUCAAAUGAUGAGGCCAAAGUGCCCUACAGAAUUAAGUUGGAAGCCACAGAUUUCAAGGUAUGACAGAUGGUGUCUCAGGAAAAACCCAGUAAUCUGUAUGGAAAUAAGAGAUCUGAAAGGAAAGCUGGCUAUUCAUUUCAUUUUCUAGAUUUUUACAAUGAGGCGGCCAGUUGAAAUGUCAAAAUUAAAUCAAAAUACACUGAAGAGUCUUGUGCACAGGCCAUGGAGAAAUACCUAGCCAAAGAUGAUAGUAUAUUGCAGAAAAUUAGAAAGAUGAAACAUAAUAUAGUUUUUUAUCUUUAUUAGAGGAUAGCUGAUUUAGAGUGUUAUGCAAACUAUUACAUUUGGAAUGGAUGAGCUGGAGUUCCCACUGUGACUCAGCAGGUUAAAAGCCUGACAUGGUGUCCGUGGGACUGAGUUUGGUCCCUAGCCUCACUCAGUGGGUUAAGGAUCCAGCAUUGUUGCAAGCUGUGGCUUGGGUCACAGAUGCAGCUCAGUUACAGCAUGGCUGUGGCUGUGGCUGUGGCCAGCUGAUUCCAUCCCUAGCCUGGGGGGAAUGUCCAUAUGCCACAGAUGCGGCCAUACCAAAAAAAACAAAAAAAAAAGGAUAAGCAAUGAGGUCCUACUGUGCAGCACAGGGGACUAUAUCUAAUCUCUUGGGACAGAACACGAUGGAAGACAGUAUGAGAAAAAGCGUGUAUAUAUAUAUAUAUAUGUAUGACUGGGUCACUUUGUUGUACUGCAGAAAUUGGCGCAAUACCUUAAAUCAACUAUACUUUAAUACAAAUUAAUAAGAAAGUAAAAUACAACUUCAAAGUGUUAUUUACGUGCUUACAUGACUUGAUAUUAAAUUUACUUUUCACAUGAUGUUAUAAAUCUGAAAAGUAUCUUUUAUUUUUAUUUAUUUUUUAUUUUUUUAAUAUUUUUUUUUUUAUUUCCCACUGUACAGCAAGGGGGUCAGGUUAUCCUUACAUGUAUACAUUACAAUUACAUUUUUCCCCCCACCCUUUGUUCUGUUGCAACAUGAGUAUCUAGACAUAGUUCUCAAUGCUAUUCAGCAGGAUCUCCUUGUAAAUCUAUUCUAAGUUGUGUCUGAUAAGCCCAAGCUCCCGAUCCCUCCCACUCCCUCCC
rnacentral:lncRNA from 1 species